UGGUGGAGUGAUUUGUCUGCUUAAUUGCGAUAACGAACGAGACCUUAACCUGCUAAAUAGCCAGGCCCGCUUUGGCGGGUCGCAGGCUUCUUAGAGGGACUAUCGGAUUUCAAGACGAUGGAAGUUUGAGGCAAUAACA
rnacentral:rRNA from 1 species